GUCUACGGCCAUACCACCCUGAACGCACCCGAUCUCGUCUGAUCUCAGAAGCUAAGCAGGGUCGGGCCUGGUUAAUACUUGGAUGGGAGAAUCAAACACCAAACAUAUAAAAUCCUGGUGGUUAGGCA
rnacentral:rRNA from 1 species